GAGAUUGAAGAAAAAUUAGAGAUUUAGAGGAGAAAAAUUAGAAAAAUUGGAGAUAAGUUUCUAGGCUUCUUUUCAGUUUUUGAGAUUUUUCUUUGGUUUGCUUUCCAGAAAAAACAACAACAAAUACAAGCAUAGUCCCACAAAGUGAGGACGAGCCUUACCCAGGGCAGAGAGGCCAUUUCCAAUCGACCCUCUCAGUGAGCUUUCCAGAAAAACAAAAAUACAAAAAUAGUUUGAGUUUAGAUUUUUGUUUCCAUUUCGAAAUGUCAAAAAAUAUCCCAAAAAUACUUUAGUUUCUUCUUUUGAUUUUGGUUUCGAUAUGGACUCUGAUUGAGGUUGGUUCCAUUCGAGUUGUUGCUACUAAUCUACGGUUUCUGCCCGUUUCCUGUUGCUAAGUUGCGUUGUGAACUUCGGAGUCGAAAUCUCUGUAUCUGUUGCAUGUUUGUAUAGUGGAAAAGCUUCGCUCAAACAGGUUCGAUCCCCUUUUCUUUUCUUAGCCUAUCUUUGGUGUUUGAUUGAAAAUAGGAUGAGAACUGGGUUUGAUUAGCUUAUAGACUGUUUGAUCCACUAUUACUUUGAGAAUAACAAAUGAAACUCGAAUUGGUUUUGUGACUGUUAAUGAGAGUGUGUGAUCGUCAUAUAGUUUCUUGCAAUUUUCAUGAAUAUUUCUGCUUGUUUGGUCGAGUUUAAACGUGAAAUGAGCUUUUGAGAUUGUUCUUUAAUCUGAUGUUCUUAUUCUACUAAUUUGAAUUGAGUCAAUCCCAGUAGUUCGUGAUGCCCGAUUCACCAAUCUGUCAUGAGUUCUCCAAUUUUAUAAUUUGAUAUGAAUGGUCUGAAAUUUGACUUUUGGUCUUUGCUUAUGCUAGAAAGAGAGGCUUGAUAUUCUUUGCGAGUUGGUUUGCACUUUGAUGUUUGACAUUUUGUUCUCAUUAUGUUAACAUAUUGAAACCUGUCUAACUAUUGAAGUUUAGGUGAUGACCUAGAGUUCAUUUUUGGUGUUCCAAGUGCCUUUUUUUCUUUCUGAAAUUCUCAUCACGUGUUUGCGACUGCAUAUAAAUGUCACGCGUUUGAUCAAAUAAUUAGUUGGAUUAUGUAUUAGAGGCUUGAAUUCAAUAUAGAUCCAUGGAUAGUUAAAAACCUCUUAAUGGUACACGUUGAAGCAUUCAGUUGUCUCUUUUGGUUCUAAUUUAUGCUGAUGUUAACUCUAAUCACUAGGAGAUCCAUUAAUGGCCUUAGCUAAGUAAACAAUUUUUGUUUAGAUGUUUGAUAUAACUACUGGCAACUUCAUUUGCUUUCAAUAAGCUUAGCAUGCUUUCUCACGAAGCGUGACUGGAAUUCAUGGUGUUUGUAUAGGAUUUUGUCGGUCUCUUAAUUUGAUCACAUGUGGGUUGUUGGGUAUUAAGAUAUGUCGGUCAUCUUCUUCCAUGUCUGAAGAUUGGGAAUUAGUUAGAUCCCUCUCUGAUAAGAAUGGUCCCUUCCUGCCAUGCUUGAAGCAAGAACAAAUUGAUUAAAUUUUGUAUAUAUUGGCUCAUUAUCGUUGGGUAUGAUUAGAUCAGUCACUCUCUUUCAAUUAUCGUCACCAUUCUAGAAUCAUGGGGGCGUUAGACCAAUUUUACAUGAGUUUUAGUUUAAAGAAGGUUUGCUGGUCACUUAGUCCUCAUGAUUUUCAUGUUUGAGUUAACGGUAGACAUUCUUAGUCAUUAUGUGAUUACAUAAUUCCAAGCACUCGAACUGUUCAUGUGUUUGUUCAUCUAUUUUCGCCCAGAGUUCAUGCUAUCUUUCGUUAACAUGCUGAAAUCUACCUUCUAUUAUCAUGUUUGUUGUCCUUAUUUUGAGUUAGCUCAAAUAGAUUUAACUAGGGAACCCGGUUAUUAAAUGUGAAUUAAUUGAGGGUUUGAGGGUACGCGGCGGAAAUAGAGGUGGGUCUUGAUUUAUUAGUUGGUUCUCAAGGGGAAAUUUUAUAGAGCUGUGGUUAGGCCUGCCAUGUUGUAUGGGGCGGAGUGCUGGNNNNNNNNNNNNNNNNNNNNNNNNNNNNNNNNNNNNNNNNNNNNNNNNNNNNNNNNNNNNNNNNNNNNNNNNNNNNNNNNNNNNNNNNGUGCUGGCCAGUGAAGAACUCUCAUGUUCAGAGAAUGAAGGUUGCGGAGAUGAGGAUGCUCAGGUGGAUGUGCGGGCUCAUCAGGUUAGAUAAAAUUAAGAAUGAAGUUAUUCGAGAGAAGGUGGGGUGGUCCCGGUGGAUGAGAAGAUGCGAGAAGCGAGGCUAAGAUGGUUCGGGCAUGAGCGGAGGAGAAGUCCUGACGCCCCGAUGAGGAGUUGUGAGCGGUUGGCAAUGGUCGGCGUACGGCGAGGCAGAGGGAGACCUAAGAGGUAUUGGGGAGAGGUGAUUAGGCAUGACAUAACUAGAAUGCGGGUUUCUGAGGACAUGACCGUGGAUAGGAAAGUAUGGAGGUCUAGUAUUAGGGUUGUGGGAUAGGGGCCCCUAGAGUUUUUCAUACUCCACACCCGGGGUUGGGUGAGGCUUGACAGGGCUAUUCACAGAAGAUUUGUGUAUUGGAUUUUGUCUUAUGCUAGUUACUGUAUGAUAUUAUUGCAUGCUAUUUUAUUUAUAGUUUUUAUGUUUCUAUUUUUAGGUUUUUUUGGGUGAGGCUUGGCAUGGCUAUUCAUAGAUGAUUUGUGUAUUGUAUUUUGUCUUAUGCUAGUUACUGUCUGAUAUUAUUGCAUGCUAUUUUAUUUAUAGUUUUUAUGUUUUUUAUUUAUUGGUUUUUAUGUUUAGAUAAUUAUUUAUGUUAUUUAUGUUGAAGUUACUAAUGCUCGUUUGUUGUUUUUGUUUUUGUCGUUACUUUCCUUCACUGAGUUGAGGGUCGAUUGGAAACAGCCUCUCUGCCCUUUCGGGUAAGGGUAAGGCCCGUUUACAUAUUACCCUCCUCAGACCCCACUUUGUAGGACUAUACUGGGUAGUUGUUGUUGUUGUUGUUGUUGUUGUUUAUUAAUUGCUGUCUUACUUUAUUAUGUCUUGGUUUAUUAGUUGGUUUGUUUGGCUUCAUGAAUCAGAUGUUGGUUUAUUUGGAUUGUCCAUCCUGUUUUGCUUGGCCUAAAUUCAUUUUGAAUGACUGUAGGGUCGUGGAGGAGUGGUACAAAAGCCGAAGCCCAUUAGAAAAUGUUUUGUUCCAUGCUUUACAUAUCGGGGUCGGUCUAAUAAAAUGAAAAGUUUAAAAUGAGAAUGAGCAUGAAAUCAGUUUUUAUUUGUUUCACUUUUUCGCUAGUAGCAUGCUUAGGACGAUCAUAUUUGGGUAGACAAACCUUUAGGAUGUUCGUGUUUUAGCUUCUUUCUGAGGUGAGAGGUCUCCCCUUAGUUAAAUUUAUCUGGGGAAUGCCCCGAAGGAUUUGCUUAUAAUUUAUUCCACGGUAUGCCCCGAAGUAUUUGUAUUUUGGGGGCCGAUUGUAGAACUCGUAGUAUUUUUAUUUUUAUUUUAUUAGAAGGGAAUAACCUCUAGCCUCUUUUGUGUUUGAAUUUCUUCUCUGCGUUUGUUUUUAUCUCAAUCUGAAUAUUUAAAAGCCGACUAGAUCAAGUACGCAACUGUACUAGUUAUAGGGCUUGAGGAGUGCUUAGCACUUUCUCUCCAAGUCAAAUGAAUCCUCUUAUCUGAAUCUCCGGUAUAGACUUAAUUUUUGAGUCCAAAGUAUUUUAGAAGGAAUAUCAUUUUAAAAACGGUGACCCGACACCGAAACAAAUGUCCGGUAUCGACUCUGAGUUAUUUCUUUUUGAACAAAAUUUUAUCACUUUCUAAUUGAAAACCCUUUUGAGCUUUACAAAUCUUUUUAUUCAUUUAAAAAGGUUAGUGAAGUUUGAAAAAAAGGUGUGUGACAUAUAAUAUUAAAGUUUUCAAAUAAUUAUUCGCAUAGUUUCAAACACAUUUUUUAAUGCCUGCCAUAUAACUUACAAGUAUGUGUUUUUGCUUUUGUGAAGGCAAGAAUGAAUAUGUGCUAAUCUGGAAAUAGUUGGAAUUAAGAAUCAUUAUGAUAUCAACACAUAGAAAAAAUAACUCUACUAGAACUUGUCCCAAAUAUCUAUUAAAAUGAAACUAUAUACGACACCGAGUUUUAAAUAAAGCUUUCUUUGAUUCACUUAUUGGUCUCUUUAGUUUUACCCCUACACACACAUUCUUCUUAAUACACCAUGUUGGUUUAACCUAAGAAAAAAGAUAUUUUUCAUAUAUAUAUAUAUAUAUAUAUAUAUAUAUAUAUAUAUAUAGUUGAGUAGAAAUGGCUAUUUAAGCAAGGGAUGAAUGAAUAUUUUUGGAGUAAAAUUUGUGUUCAGCGAAAGGUGAUUUUAUGGAGUAAAAAAAUAGAUGUGAAUAUACUUGUGGAAUAAAUUCUUGAUUUAAAUAGUUUGAACUUAGGGAGAAUAUUUUCUGUUGAAAGGAAUAUUGACUUAAUUGGUGUUAGUAGUUGAACUGGAGACAUCUUUAGAGUUUAUUUUCUUUGUAUUAAGUUGUUCUAGUUCCUUUUGUAAAAUAAUUGGCGCACAUGGUAAAGCUCGAAGGAACACAAUCACUAUAAUUAUAUCAUUUACCCUUACCCGUACUAAGCCUUACAAUACAAACCUAAAAAAGUCCUAAUUUUUUGUUAAAAAAAUUAGUAUUUAUUCUACAUUAAUAGAGAUUGACAUGAAGGGAAAACUUAUGGACAGUGUUUGAGAAAUUCAAGGAUUGUUAUCAUAAUAUUAUCAAUCUCAAAAGAUUCAUCAAAAGGAGGAGAUGAAAGUUUUGCCAAAGAAAAGUAAAAGUGGGAACAAGGUAAAAAUUUGGUGACUUGAAAUACUUAUAUGUUUUGAAUGUUAUAUGAAUUUUUAUUUUCUUAAUUUUCCAGUCUAUAAGAAACAAUAAUUACUAAUAAAAUAAUUUUCCUCGAGAGCGAGCAAUGAUUCAAGUCAGAGGGAGUUUGAUGAAUACACAAUGUUUAUAUAUUAUACACUUAAAAACAUAUACUAUUUUAAAUAAAGGAUUUAUAUAAUAUUUUAAUUCUCUGUAUUUUCUAACAAUAUUUUGCAGGAGAUAAGAAUACAAUUAAUAAAGUGUCACGAGCCAAUUUCUGUCAUAUAUCAUGAUGGCGCCCAACAUCAUUCUUAGGCAAGCCAAAUUAUCAACUUAAUUAUUUAUUUUAUUAAUUUUGAAAUUUUGGGUUUUAUCAAGUAAAAAAAUUAGGCGUACAAAAACAUGGAGAUAUAAAGCAGUAAUAAAAACAUAAACAGAAGAGGUGACAAUACCAGAUAAAUACCAUAAACAUCUACUAGAAUUUUUAAAAUUCGGUAUCACAAGUGCAUGAACAUCUAUUAGAAAGUACAAUAUUAAUAUAAUAUCUGUCCGGAAUAUAAAAUAGAUAGAACAUAAUAAAUGAAUAUUGAAAGAGACUCCAUGUGUUGCAUAUUGUAAUAUGGAAUGCAGCUCACCGUAAAGUCCCCUCAACAGCUGCACAAUCAUUGUAGAAGUGCAUCAUGAGUACGUAAACUAACAUGCACCCAACAUGUUUUUAGCCUAACUCCGAAGAAAUAGUGACGAGGAGUUGACGUCGAUACUUACUAGUGAUCCAAUAAAUUAGUAUAAUAAAUUAUAAAUAGAUAACGAACACAACGAUAAUGAUAAGGUAAGAAGCUGUAACUAACAUAAUCCUCCAACAUAAUGACAAUAUGAACUCCUCAAAUAUCAUGUGCUAUAAAAAACAAAUAAGAAAUAUCAUGUAAUAUUUGGACUCCUAGCAAUAUUACGCACGAAUUAUGCCGAGGUCGUACAGUGCGAUCCAUAAUAGUCGUGUACAUACACUACCAAGAUCAUAUGACCCGAUCUACAGAUGCAUCUCAAAUAUACCGCUGAGGUCAUACGGUCCGAUCCAUAAUGUUAUUUCAUGCAUUGUUGAAGCGUACGUCCUCAUUCACGAGAAUAGAGGACUCUUCGAACAAUGAGAAACAAUUACAACACAAAGAUAGGCACAUAAAGAAAGCAUACUUUUACCAACUAUCAAGUAUUUCACCGAAACUCAAGGUAAUGAAGGUCGGCCUAACAUAAUCCUAAUCAAAUUUAAGUUACAAAUUUAAGUAAUUAAACUAAUAAAUUAACUUUAAUUAAUAUAAAUAUUGCAUGAUAAAGUCCU
rnacentral:lncRNA from 1 species